GCACCGGCUCCCUUUGGAGCCAUUUUUACCUGAAAAAAAUUGUCA
rfam:Caenorhabditis brenneri strain PB2801 C_brenneri-6.0.1_Cont311.17, whole genome shotgun sequence.